GGCUCUGAGUGCGCGCACCUUCCACCGAUUGCAGCACGAGCUAUCCCGAAGUGACGCUAAGAAAUUUCGUUCUGUUGGUUUGGAAGGGAAAUGGAGUUCAGAACACUACUGGUGCAGAUAAAAGAAAGGAUGGUCGGAUUAGUGAGAUGCUCAAAAAGAGAGUGCGGGCUUUGGAUGUCUCUGGGAGAGAUACAAGUUGGGUGAGUAGCAUCAAGUGAACGCUCAGGAAUUCACCAGAAGAAAACCAUCAGCAACUGUGCCAGUUCUAAGCAAGAAGC